GGUUAAGCGACUAAGCGUACACGGUGGAUGCCCUGGCAGUCAGAGGCGAUGAAGGGCGUGCUAAUCUGCGAUAAGCGCCGGUAAGGUGAUAUGAACCGUUAUAACCGGCGAUACCCGAAUGGGGAAACCCAGUGUGAUUCGUCACACUAUCAUUAACUGAAUCCAUAGGUUAAUGAGGCGAACCGGGGGAACUGAAACAUCUAAGUACCCCGAGGAAAAGAAAUCAACCGAGAUUCCCCCAGUAGCGGCGAGCGAACGGGGAGGAGCCCAGAGCCUGAAUCAGCAUGUGUGUUAGUGGAAGCGUCUGGAAAGGCGCGCGAUACAGGGUGACAGCCCCGUACACAAAAGCGCAUGUGCUGUGAGCUCGAUGAGUAGGGCGGGACACGUGGUAUCCUGUCUGAAUAUGGGGGGACCAUCCUCCAAGGCUAAAUACUCCUGACUGACCGAUAGUGAACCAGUACCGUGAGGGAAAGGCGAAAAGAACCCCGGCGAGGGGAGUGAAAAAGAACCUGAAACCGUGUACGUACAAGCAGUGGGAGCGCAGGUUUACCUGUGUGACUGCGUACCUUUUGUAUAAUGGGUCAGCGACUUAUAUUCUGUAGCAAGGUU
rnacentral:rRNA from 1 species